CCUACGGGGGGCUGCAGUGGGGAAUAUUGGACAAUGGGGGGAACCCUGAUCCAGCCAUGCCGCGUGUGUGAAGAAGGCCCUCGGGUUGUAAAGCACUUUCAGUGAGGAAGAACGCCUGGUGGUUAAUACCCAUCAGGAAAGACAUCACUCACAGAAGAAGCACCGGCUAACUCCGUGCCAGCAGCCGCGGUAAUACGGAGGGUGCGAGCGUUAAUCGGAAUUACUGGGCGUAAAGCGCGCGUAGGUGGCUUGAUAAGCCGGUUGUGAAAGCCCCGGGCUCAACCUGGGAACGGCAUCCGGAGCUGUCAAGCUAGAGUGCAGGAGAGGAAGGUAGAAUUCCCGGUGUAGCGGUGAAAUGCGUAGAGAUCGGGAGGAAUACCAGUGGCGAAGGCGGCCUUCUAGACUGACACUGACACUGAGGUGCGAAAGCGUGGGUAGCAAACAGGAUUAGAUACCCUGGUAGUA
rnacentral:rRNA from 1 species